AAAGGAAUAGACGGGGGCCCGCACAAGCGGAGGAACAUGUGGUUUAAUUCGAUGAUACGCGAGGAACCUUACCCGGGCUCGAACGGCUUUUGAAUAUAUCAGAGAUGGUAUAGCCAGCAAUGGCAGAAGUCGAGGUGCUGCAUGGUUGUCGUCAGCUCGUGCCGUGAGGUGUCGGCUUAAGUGCCAUAACGAGCGCAACCCUUGUCGUUAGUUGCCAGCGGGUAAUGCCGGGAACUCUAACGAGACUGCCACCGUAAGGUGUGAGGAAGGGGGGGAUGACGUCAAAUCAGCACGGCCCUUACGUCCGGGGCGACACACGUGUUACAAUGGAAGGCACAGAGGGCAGCUACACAGCAAUGUGAUGCUAAUCUCGAAAACCUUUCUCAGUUCGGAUUGGAGUCUGCAACUCGACUCCAUGAAGUUGGAUUCGCUAGUAAUCGCACAUCAGCCAUGGUGCGGUGAAUACGUUCCCGGGCCUUGUACACACCGCCCGU
rnacentral:rRNA from 1 species